rnacentral:ncRNA from 1 species
CAUAAACCUUUGAAUAAGAAUAGUAGGUACAUAACAAUAACUUACAGAGAGCUGUGGAGGCUGAGAACAUAGCAGAUAUUUAUAUACCGAAUGGACUUAUGAGGGCGAACGAACAGGAUUAAACCUAAGUAGCAAUCGACGGCAACCGCAGUCGUUAUUAAGCGGAGCGUAUGACAGUACGUGUUAAAGGUGGGUGCUUUUAAGCAUCAAUUUGAGUGGUACCGCAGGAUAUUUCGUCUUGUCU